rnacentral:rRNA from 1 species
GACGAACGCUGGCGGCGUGCCUAAUACAUGCAAGUUGAGCGCUGAAGGUUGGUACUUGUACCAACUGGAUGAGCAGCGAACGGGUGAGUAACGCGUGGGGAAUCUGCCUUUGAGCGGGGGACAACAUUUGGAAACGAAUGCUAAUACCACAUAAAAACUUUAAACACAAGUUUUAAGUUUGAAAGAUGCAAUUGCAUCACUCAAAGAUGAUCCCGCGUUGUAUUAGCUAGUUGGUGAGGUAAAGGCUCACCAAGGCGAUGAUACGUAGCCGACCUGAGAGGGUGAUCGGCCACAUUGGGACUGAGACACGGCCCAAACUCCUACGGGAGGCAGCAGUAGGGAAUCUUCGGCAAUGGACGAAAGUCUGACCGAGCAACGCCGCGUGAGUGAAGAAGGUUUUCGGAUCGUAAAACUCUGUUGGUAGAGAAGAACGUUGGUGAGAGUGGAAAGCUCAUCAAGUGACGGUAACUACCCAGAAAGGGACGGCUAACUACGUG